rnacentral:tRNA from 1 species
GGACGUGUGCCUGAAUAAAGGAUUACUUUGAUAGAGUAAAACAUAGGAACUAAGACCUCCUCACCUCCU